UACGUAGGGGGCUAGCGUUGUCCGGAUUUAUUGGGCGUAAAGAGCGUGUAGGCGGCCAGGUAGGUCCGGUGUGAAAACUCGAGGCUUAACCUCGAGAUGUCAUCGGAAACCAUCUGGCUAGAGUCCGGAAGAGGAGAGUGGAAUUCCUGGUGUAGCGGUGAAAUGCGCAGAUAUCAGGAAGAACACCAAUGGCGAAGGCAGCUAACUAUUCUGCUCCUGACAUUGAAGCAUGAAAGCGUGGGGAGCAAACCGG
rnacentral:rRNA from 1 species